rnacentral:lncRNA from 1 species
CUUCAAACAUAAUUUUGAUAGUUGUCUAUAAUCCCUUGCUUGUUUAUCGAGAGAUACACGCCUGAGGCAUUAAUUAUCUUUCCUGUCACCAUCUGCAAACAAUUAACCAUUUAAUCUUACCCGUAGGCAACUGUAAACAUGUGAAUUCAAGAUUUUAGAUUGAAUAUGUAAACCAGUCUUAAAAUUACGUCAUUUUACCGCCACCUGCCAAGGUGUACUUUCGUUUUCGCCGACCUCAAUAUUUAUCGAGCCAUCAGAAGAUGAGACAGAGCCAAAAAAAUAAAUAGAUCGGCAACUUGAAAGGCAUAUAGAAAACAUCUCGCCAACUUCACGUGGGAACUGAAUGAGAUCUCGUUUUACCGGUGUAUGAAACAGAUAGCAAAAGGAUAAAAUGUGUGUCGUGAAAAACUUUUUAUAUACAUGUAUAUAUUUUAUACUUCUUUGGUAUUUUACAAUUUUAACUGGGUAUUUACGCAAAUACGCAGCUUACCUGUUGUUCUAGAUUACUGAUAAAAUUAAUACUUGAUGUCAUGUAAUAAAACACUUACUGAAAGGUUUGCCAGUCAGUAGUCAAAACUAUUGUCAA